CCUACGGGCGGCAGCAGUGAGGAAUAUUGGUCAAUGGACGAGAGUCUGAACCAGCCAAGUAGCGUGAAGGAUGACUGCCCUAUGGGUUGUAAACUUCUUUUAUAUGGGAAUAAAAUGUGCCACGUGUGGGAUUUUGUAUGUACCAUAUGAAUAAGGAUCGGCUAACUCCGUGCCAGCAGCCGCGGUAAUACGGAGGAUCCGAGCGUUAUCCGGAUUUAUUGGGGUUAAAGGGAGCGGAGGGGGAUUGUUUAGGCCGUUGUGAAAGUUUGCGGCUCAACCGUAAAAGUGCAGUUGAAACUGGCAGUCUUGAGUACAGUUGAGGUGGGCGGAAUUCGUGGUGUAGCGGUGAAAUGCUUAGAUAUCACGAAGAACUCCGAUUGCGAAGGCAGUUCACUGGACUGCAACUGACACUGAGGCUCGAAAGUGUGGGUAUCAAACAGGAUUAGAUACCCGAGUAGUC
rnacentral:rRNA from 1 species